CCCCAGGUGCCAUUGGGUGACACUGGGUGCCAUUGGGUGACCCCAGGUGCCAUUGGGUGCCACUGGGUGACCCCAGGUGACCUCAGGUGACCCCAGGUGCCACUGGGUGA
rnacentral:lncRNA from 1 species